GCCCACGUAGCUCAGUGGAUAGAGCAUUCCCCUCCUAAGGGAAGGGUCGCAGGUUCGAUUCCUGCCGUGGGCGCCA
rnacentral:tRNA from 1 species